UUUGGAAUUUUGGACAAUGGGCGAAAGCCUGAUCCAGCGACGCCGCGUGGACGAUGAAGGCCUUCGGGUUGUAAAGUCCUUUUGCUAGGGACGAAUUUUUGACGGUACCUAGCGAAUAAGAGGUUGCUAACUCUGUGCCAGCAGCAGCGGUAAUACAGAGACCUCAAGCGUUAUCCGGAAUCAUUGGGCGUAAAGCGUACCGAUAGGUGGUCAAGAAAGUCAGAGGUGAAAUCUCAAGGCUCAACUUUGAGACUGUCCUUUGAAACUUCUCGACUAGAGGGGCAAAGAGGAAGCUAGAACGAACGGUGUAGUAGUGAAAUGCGUUGAUAUCGUUCGGAAUACCGAUAGCGAAGGCAGGCUUCUGGGUGCCACCUGACACUGCUAGGACGAAAGCGUGGGGAGCGAAUGGGAUUAGAUACCCCCGUAGUCC
rnacentral:rRNA from 1 species